CUCUGCCUGUCAUUUUUGCCUCAGUCAUAUGUCCAACUCAAGAAGCAACCACAUCUCACAGAAAAAAAGUAGGGGGGAGGAAGUAUUUUGAGCUGGGAAUAGAGAAUCCUACCUGAAGAGAAAAGACUGGCUUCUAAUUAAAAUGCAGACAGGAGUCUGAUCUCUCUCCACAUCCGCUGGAAAUUAUUCCUUUAAGCCAGGAGUUUGUAAGAAGCCAGCAGGCAAUGCAGUCAUGUGGUAAUAACCUUCCCACUGCCAAGAUGGAUUAAUGCUGGGAGAGCUUAC